rnacentral:lncRNA from 1 species
CUCCAGCCCGCCUCGAUCGCUGAGCAACACCUUCACCCUUGUCCCUCCCCCACCACACGCCGGUUUUUUCUUUUUUUUUUUUUUUUCCUUUUCCUCCUCUUUUUUUUUUUUUUUUUCCUUUUUUUUUUUUUUUUUUUUUUUUUUUUUUUUUCUCCUCCACUCUCCCGCAGCGAGUUAAAUAUUUCUUUUGUUAAUUGACGCCCAAAGUGUUCCCAAUCCCUUCCCCGCGCCGCCCGGGCCGACCGAGGACGUGUGCACGCCCAGAUCCGCUCGGUGAAGCAGCACAGAUCCGCGGGGCCGAGCGGGAUUUAAAUGUCACUCACAGCAUCCCCAGAUCAGCUUUCUGCUCGUCUCCGCUUUCUUCCGAGGCUUUAAUUGGAUCACACGCUGCAUUUGAAGAGCCUGGGUGUUUUACCCGCUAAGGAAAUUUGCUCCAUCUCCAGCAGCAACCACUGCUCCUUUUGAUGUUGUGGUACGCCGUGCGCAUGCGCUUCACAUUAGAAUUACUGCACUGGCCAGAAUAAGUUGGAUCUCUUCUUCUCUUCACUGAAACCCUAAAUCAUAUCAAAAGCUAAAGGGAUGCUGAGAGUCCGGAAAAAGGGUUACUUUGGGAUUUGGUCAUUCCCUUUAAUAAUAGCUGCGGUGUGUGCACAGAGGUAAGUGAUUAAGGUAUCUCUUUUCCUUUACUUUGAAUUGCAGUGCAUGCUGCUGCUGAGAGAAAUGUACAGCUGGG